AUGUGUUCCUCAGUAAACAGGAGCCGAGCGAUAAACACAAGCCCUGCUGACGGUAAUGAUGUCAAACCCACGUCUCCCCUCUUCCAGCUCUCUCAUCGCUCACUCCGUCCAUGCCCUUCCAAAGUUUUUUUGUUGUUCUCUCCCCAGCUUGCUUUUCACUCGUUCACAUGGACUUCGGUUUCUCGAGGACUGUCAGCAUCGUUGAGCUUAAGCCAGGAGAGACAACACAAAGGGCAGCCUGAGAGUAGCAGCCAACAAGUUCCAGAGAACAGAGAAGCGAUUCCUCCAACAAUCUCCACCGAGCUAAGGAUCUCCCUCAAAACGAAAGGACAUGACCCUAUACAAAUAUGUCUGGAAUUGCCCGAGAUUUACACUUUGCCAUGGCUGACUCUCACUACCGGCCAAAAUCCUUGUGGUUCUGCUAAAAGUUUGGAGGAUUUAAAAUUCCAAUACCAUAAGGAUUGUAAAGAAAAAACUAAUCAGCAUGCAUUUGUCAUAAUAGUGGGUGAAAAUGGUACAUUCAAUCAUGAAGUCCCCAACCCGCUAUAUGAAGAGAAGAAACACACAGAGGUGAUUAUUAUUGAAGCAGUUGAUAAAUAUCUUGAUGGAAAUUAUAAGAACCAAAGACGCAAAGAAGAAAUUAUUGUGAUUUUUACGUACAAUAGCCCAUGUAUGAAGAGAGAAAAAAAGAGCAUUGAGCCUUGCAUGUUUCAGCUUUUUAAAAAAGCCCAUCAAUGGAACAGAGAUUAUGGAUUUUCUGUUGUGAUCUUAUUCACAAAGUUUUGGGGACCAAUUGGACCAAAUACAAUAAAAUUCACCGAAGUUGAAAUCAAUCAGCUUUAUUCUUGGUUCAGAGAGUUUUCCAAUGUUCCUAUUCAGGUAGAUAGUAAAGAAUUAUGUAAAAGAUUUAAAGACAUUAAACAGAAUCAGUUACUGUCCGUGGUUCCAAAAGAAUAUAAAGAAAAAGUUAGAUGUGAUUUAAAAAAGUUUAAGAAGGAUCUUAUGGACCUGACAGAAAUCAAACAACCUUUGACCGUUAAACAACUUUCUGAAAAUGGAGAGGAAGUAAUUGGUAAUUUAAGACAAGUAAUGUGUUAUUUCUCAGAAGAACUCGUACCUUUAUCCAAUAUUUGGCAUGAAGCGGUAAAAAGCAGUGCAGUGAAACGUAUUAAAGCUAAAAUAACAGCAGAUGGCAACUCUGAAAUAUUUAAAUUUCUACAAAAUCGGGAGUCCACUUCACAGAACAGGGACCCGAUAUCGAUUUAUCAGAUCUCUCAAAAUCUCUAA
ensembl:lncRNA